rnacentral:rRNA from 1 species
CGGACAGCAAUAUGAAGGUCAGGCUGAAGACCUUACCCGAUUAGCUGAGAGGUGGUGCAUGGCCGUCGUCAGUUCGUACUGUGAAGCAUCCUGUUAAGUCAGGCAACGAGCGAGACCCACGUCCACAGUUGCCAGCAUACCCUCCGGGGUGAUGGGUACACUGUGGAGACCGCCGCUGCUAAAGCGGAGGAAGGGGUGGGCAACGGUAGGUCAGUAUGCCCCGAAUCUCCCGGGCUACACGCGGGCUACAAUGGUUGGUACAAUGGGCAUCUACCCCGAAAGGGGAAGGAAAUCUCUUAAAGCCAAUCGUAGUUCGGAUUGAGGGCUGCAACUCGCCCUCAUGAAGCUGGAAUCCGUAGUAAUCGCGUUUCAACAGAACGCGGUGAAUACGUCCCUGCUCCUU